GAUGAACGCUGGCGGCGUGCCUAAUACAUGCAAGUCGAACGAAACUUCUUUAUCACCGAGUGCUUGCACUCACCGAUAAAGGGUUGAGUGGCGAACGGGUGAGUAACACGUGUGCAACCUGCCCAAAAGAGGGUGAUAACACUUGGAAACAGGUGCUAAUACCGCAUAACCAUAGUUACCGCAUGGUAACUAUGUAAAAUGUGGCUAUACUUCCUCAUCUGGUUGGGGCCGCGGCGCAUUAGCUAGUUUGUAGGGUAAAGGCUUACCAAGGCAGUGAUGCGUAGCCGAAUUGAGAGGUUGGUCGGCGACAUUGGGACUGAGCCACGGCCAAAACUCCUACGGGAGGCAGCAGUAGGGAAUGUUCCACAAUGGGCGAAAGCCUGAUGGAGCAACGCCGCGUGGGUGAAGAAGGUCUUCGGAUCGUAAAACCCUGUUGUUAGUGAAGAAAGGGUGUGAGAGUAACUGUUCACGUUUUGACGGUAUCUAACAAGAAAGCCACUGCUAACUACGUG
rnacentral:rRNA from 1 species